rnacentral:rRNA from 1 species
UAAUACGUAGGGUGCGAGCGUUAAUCGGAAUUACUGGGCGUAAAGCGUGCGCAGGCGGUUUUGUAAGCCAGAUGUGAAAUCCCCGGGCUCAACCUGGGAACUGCAUUUGGGACUGCAAGGCUGGAGUACGGCAGAGGGAGGUGGAAUUCCACGUGUAGCAGUGAAAUGCGUAGAUAUGUGGAGGAACACCGAUGGCGAAGGCAGCCUCCUGGGCUGAUACUGACGCUCAUGCACGAAAGCGUGGGGAGCAAACAGGAUUAGAUACCCUGGUAGUCCACGCCCUAAACGAUGGCGACUAGUUGUUGGGGAUUUAACGUCCUUAGUAACGCAGCUAACGCGUGAAGUCGCCCGCCUGGGGAGUACGGUCGCAAGAUUA